UACGUAGGGUGCAAGCGUUGUCCGGAAUUAUUGGGCGUAAAGAGCUCGUAGGCGGUCUGUCGCGUCUGCUGUGAAAACUCAGGCUUAACCCUGAGCUUGCAGUGGGUACGGGCAGACUAGAGUGCGGUAGGGAGACUGGAAUUCCGUGGUGUAGCGGUGAAAUGCGCAGAUAUCAGGAGGAACACCGGUGGCGAAGGCGGGUCUCUGGGCCGUAACUGACG
rnacentral:rRNA from 1 species